rnacentral:rRNA from 1 species
GUUAAAACUCAAAUGAAUUGACGGGGGCCCGCACAAGCGGUGGAGCAUGUGGUUUAAUUCGAUGCAACGCGAAGAACCUUACCUACUCUUGACAUCCAGCGAAUCCUUUAGAGAUAGAGGAGUGCCUUCGGGAGCGCUGAGACAGGUGCUGCAUGGCUGUCGUCAGCUCGUGUUGUGAAAUGUUGGGUUAAGUCCCGCAACGAGCGCAACCCUUAUCCUUGUUUGCCAGCACGUAAUGGUGGGAACUCCAGGGAGACUGCCGGUGAUAAACCGGAGGAAGGUGGGGACGACGUCAAGUCAUCAUGGCCCUUACGAGUAGGGCUACACACGUG